CUUACUGCUUCGUUAGACAAUAUUGGCAUUAUGUACCUGUACAAGAUACAGAGUAGUCACUAGUAACACACACACACACACACACACAGCAACACACACACACACACAGCAACAUACAGCAACAGACACAGCCAAUCAGAACAUCAGAGACACUAUGAAGGCCAUCAUAUGAUAAAAAAACAUGUUUUACUGUCCGAAUUCUUUUCAGUACCUCCCCUAUGUACGUAGUGUUGAACGAACAAAAUGACGUUUUCCGCAUGGAUCCAAAGUCCUCCUCUGGAAACAACUGAAGCUAAAUGAUGCCAUAAAACAAAGCAGAUUAAUGAUUUGCUCUUCCCACUACAGUAGUUGAGAGUGAUCAGCAUGUCAUGGACAGGCUACACACCGUAACAGAUAGACAAAGACCUAAAGGCAUAAUGUAACAUUGUAAUGUUAUUUUAAUUUAAUUCUAAUGUUAUAUGAAUUGAAUUCAAAUGUUAUUUGAAUUGAAUUCUGAUGUUAUAUGAAUUGAAUUCUAAUGUUAUAUGAAUUGAAUUCUAAUGUUAUUUGAAUUGAAUUCUAAUGUUAUUUGAAUUGAAUUCGAAUGUUAUUUGAAUUGAAUUCUAGUGUUAUAUGAAUUUAAUUCUAAUGUUAUUUGAAUUGAAUUCUAAUGUUAUAUGAAUUGAAUUCUAAUGUUAUAUGAAUUGAAUUCUAAUGUUAUAUGAAUUGAAUUCUAAUUUCAUUUGAAUUGAAUUCUAAUGUUAUUUGAAUUGAAUUCUAAUGUUAUUUUAUAGCUAUCAUUAUCAACGUGCAUUGCUAGUUUGUCUGUAUUGUUAUGUUUCCAGGCACCACAGAAAGCGGUACUGGCUGGUGUGAUGAACCAGACACCAGAUCUACAGUACUACUGGCACAUGGUUUUGCUCUACACUCAGAUUGCAAUUCUAUAACAAACAUUUGGCAAAACUCAACACACAAUUCUCUUGCUUUGGCACGACCUUCACAACUAAAAUAUCUUGUGUUGAAAUGAAAAGAAACACUGUUCAACAAGCUAGGCUCAAUUACCAAUUCAUCACUUUCACUUUUCACAUGUGCAAAGGAAGGAGGAAGGAUGAAGGAGGAAGGAGGAAGACCAAGAACAAGGAAAGUAAUCUCUGAUGAAAUUCGGGCGACUGUGGUGGACCAUGUGAUCAACCAUGGUUUGACCUUGAGAGAGGCUGGACAGACCAUGUGGUCAACCAUGGUUUGACCUUGAGAGAGGCUGGGCAGACCAUGUGAUCAACCAUGGUUUGACCUUGAGAGAGGCUGGGCAGACCAUGUGAUCAACCAUGGUUUGACCUUGAGAGAGGCUGGGCAGAGAGUGCAGCCCAAUCUGAGCCACUUCACCCUAGCAUCCAUCAUCCAGACGUUCCACAAUGAGAAGAGAACUGAAAGACGACCGCCACGUGGUGGUUGAUCGCGUCUAACAGACGAACAGGGAGGCCGACGUUGUGAAAUCCAACAACAGAUGAUUUAAAACACUGUCAUCUUCCAUAACAUCAGAGUUUAUCAACCAUCCUUAACAAACCAUCUCUGGAUGAAGCACAUCUACAGAGUCCUGUUUGAAAGGAAUUCCCAAAGUGUGAAGGAUAAACGAGAAUCCUGGAGUUGGAUGCAAGUCCCAUCCCCCAGGAACUCAUAUUCAUAGAUGAGGCUUGAUUCAACGUAGCAAAGACGAGAUGGAGAGGAAGGAACAUCAUUGGUCAAGGCGUCAUCAUUGAGGUACCUGGUCAGGGCUGGGGGAAUGUCACCAUAUGCCCAGCUAUGAGCCACAAUGGAGGUCCUCCGCCACCAUGCCACAAUAUACCCAGCUAUGAGCCACAUUGGGGUCCUCCACCGCCAUGCCACCAUAUACCCAGCUAUGAGCCACAAUGGAGGUCCUCCACCACCAUGUCACCAUAUACCCAGCUGUGAGCCAAAAUGGAGGUCCUCCGCCACCAUGCCACCAUAUGCCCAGCUAUGAGCCACAAUGGAGGUCCUCCACCACCAUGCCACCAUAUGGCCAGCUAUGAGCCACAAUGGAGGUCCUCCAACACCAUGCCACCAUAUACCCAGCUAUGAGCCACAAUGGAGGUCCUCCACCACCAUGCCACCAUAUGCCCAGCUAUGAGCCACAAUGGAGGUCCUCCACCACCAUGCCACCAUAUACCCAGCUAUGAGCCACAAUGGGGUCCUCCACCACCAUGUCACCAUAUACCCAGCUAUGAGCCACAAUGGAGGUCCUCCACCACCAUGCCACCAUAUGCCCAGCUAUGAGCCACAAUGGGGUACUCCACCACCAUGCCACCAUAUACCCAGCUAUGAGCCACAAUGGAGGUCCUCCACCGCCAUGCCACCAUAUGCCCAGCUAUGAGCCACAAUGGAGGUCCUCCACCGCCAUGCCACCAUAUGCCCAGCUAUGAGCCACAAUGGGGUCCUCCACCACCAUGCCACCAUAUACCCAGCUAUGAGCCACAAUGGAGGUCCUCCACCACCAUGUCACUAUAGACCCAGCUAUGAGCCACAAUGGAGGUCCUCCACCACCAUGCCACCAUAUGCCCAGCUAUGAGCCACAAUGGAGAUCCUCCACCACCAUGUCACCAUAUACCCAGCUAUGAGCCACAAUGGAGGUCCUCCACCACCAUGUCACUAUAUACCCAGCUAUGAGCCACAAUGGAGAUCCUCCACCACCAUGUCACCAUAUGCCCAGCUAUGAGCCACAAUGGAGGUCCUCCACCACCAUGCCACCCUAUGCCCAGCUAUGAGCCACAAUGGGGUCCUCCACCACCAUGUCAGCAUAUGCCCAGCUAUGAGCCACAAUGGGGUCCUCCACCACCAUGUCACCAUAUGCCCAGCUAUGAGCCACAAUGGAGGUCCUCCACCGCCAUGUCACCAUAUGCCCAGCUAUGAGCCACAAUGGGGUUCUCCUCCACCAUGUCACCAUAUACCCAUCUAUGAGCCACAAUGGAGGUCCUCCACCACCAUGCCACCAUAUGCCCAGCUAUGAGCCACAAUGGAGGUCCUCCACCACCAUGCCACCAUAUGCCCAGCUAUGAGCCACAAUGGGGUCCUCCACCACCAUGUCACCAUAUGCCCAGCUAUGAGCCACAAUGGGGUCCUCCACCACCAUGCCACCAUAUACCCAGCUAUGAGGCACAAUGGGGUCCUCCACCGCCAUGUUACCCGUGGACCAUACAACCACAGCAAUGGCCUGUGGUGACAUUCCAGCAGAGUCCUGUCAGGGGUGGAUGCGUCAUGCCAGAAGAUAUUUCCCCAGCUGUCUGGCCAAGGAGAAUAUCGCCUGUGAUGUUGAUGAACAUCUGUUCUCCGGACCAAAACAACACACAUGACUCAUUUUUGUUUUCGAAUGGAGUAUUUGUUUCUUGAGUUUUGAUUUUACUGUAUUUCGACAGUUUCUUUAUCUAUUCCGUACAAUUGAUGUAAUAUACAGUACAGUAUAGGCCUAUUUUUCUUCCUUCGCAUAUGCAAAAUAUAUUUACUGUAUUUUAGCAUUUUUACUGUGUGCUUACAUUAUGCUGUUUGACGUGUAUUGAGUCUGUCACGUCCUGACCAGUAAAAGGGUUAUUUGUUAUUGUAGUUUGGUCAGGACGUGGCAGAGGAUAUUUUGUUUAUGUGGUUC